AGGCUAGAUCUGGAUCCCAGAAUAAAUAUUUACUUGACAAACACUUGGGAAGGAUGUCUAUUACACCAACUGCAACUAGCCGUCCAUCAAUCAGAUACUGCUGAUGGAAAGAACCAAAUCCGCAGGGGGGAACGGUAAGGUCCCCAGAGGGUGGAACGAAUACUAGAGGUGUAUCAACCAAAAAUCUCCUAUAUGAGCCACAGGGGGAAACAGUAAGGUCCCCAGAGGGUGGAACGAAUACUAGAGGUGUAUCAACCAAAAAUCUUCUAUAUGAGCUCUCAGCAACUUCGUCUGGCGAAUCAUUGUGCACCCUAAUUUGGUACCUUCUAUACAAGGAAUAUUCUUCCGGAUCAAAACUGGACCUUUUAAGACGAACCUCAAACCUC
rnacentral:lncRNA from 1 species